rnacentral:misc_RNA from 1 species
GCUUAAGCCUCUUUCUUUAUUUUUCUUGGGGUUUCAAUGGAAGAGGAUGAUCAGAAAGAGUUGCAGCUGCUUCCUUCUCAACACUCUCUAGCAGCUUCUUCUUGUUCUUAUUCACACAUGUCGUCUAGGCCUCCGGAAUCUUCUUCGUUGAGGUAUCGAUCAUCAUCGGCGAUGGUGUCAGAUCAUCAUCAUCAAAUUGGAGGGGCGCCAUCGCUAGACUUGAAAUUAUCAAUCAGUCUUAGUCCAAUCCAGGCACCAUCUAACUGUGUUUUAACAGGUCCCAUUUGUGAUUUCAGUGAUGGGAAUAAAGCGGAUACGAGCUGCGUGGAGGCUUUGAAAUGGCAGGCGGCGGAGCAAAUUAGAUUGGCUGCCAUUGAAAAAGCUUAUGCAGAGAGAGUGAGGGAGCUGACAAGAAGGGAGAUGGAGUUGGCGCAAUCGGAGUUUGCAAGGGCAAGAAGUAUGUGGCAAAGGGCUAGAGAGGAGGUGGAAAAAGCGGAAAGAAUGAAGGAGAAAGCAACAAGGCAGAUGGAUUCUACGUGCAUGGAGAUCACUUGCCAAUCUUGCAGGCAAAGGUUCAAGCCUUAAAUUAAUAUAUGCUUUUGUGAUGAGAUUUGAAACCCUUGAAGACAAGAUAAGAAAGAUAUUAUUCUAUAGGGGCCAAAUUGUUGAGUUUGAAUAUUUGGGUAUUGGAUUCCUCCUUCCUUCACCAGAACAGAAGAAUUAAAGGAUAAAGAUCAAGGACACAACAUAAGUGGCAUGAAAAAAGUUUGCAGUGCCCAUAAUUUGUUUUCCCCAAUUUUCAUCAUUAAUUGUGAUGCGUUUGAUUAAUAAUUAUAUGACUCAAGAUUUUAUUUGAAACCCAGAUAACAUGUUUCAAGUUCAAAAUGG